rnacentral:lncRNA from 1 species
CUACCUCUCCGCAAUCCUGCAUUGGCAAUUAUGUUGUUGUUAUCCACUGAUUAACCGUAAGUUGAACGAUUUAACUUUUUCUUUCUGCUAGGAUCCCUGUCAAAGUUGAACUAGUUUGUACAAAUGUUGGAUAGUGGGAGAUGGACCAUUGCUUGGUGCACGUUAACUUUAGCACAUUUCAGGAUCGAAAAAAGAACCCUCGUGAAGAAUUAUCUUAUCAUCUAGCUAACAUUUCCGGACUAUUUUCAGAUGACGUUACAUCUCAAAUUGGAGUCACAAUUGGUAAUACAUCCAUCGUCCUUCACUGAAAUACUACUGAUAUCAGCGCUAGUACAAGCAUUUGUCAUGGAUUGCCUUCAAUUCUCAAUUUAAUCUCCGCAACUCCGUAGUGACCAUCAGACGAGUGAAGCCAAAAUGCUUGGCUUCUAAUACUCUCUGGGGUGUGUAUAUACUUCUUAAUCCAAGGCGUGUUCAGAUUAAAAUCCACUCUACCAAGUUGGAACUGAUUGAGGGUGGUCGCACGACCUUGUGAGGAGAGACCAUGUGUGAGUAUCUGCUACAUGCAUGUAUAAGUACUUCAUUCACAUCUUUUCACAACGAACCAAAUUGCAUGUGAAGGCCCUAAC